rfam:Sarcophilus harrisii ctg7180002465128, whole genome shotgun sequence.
GGGAAACGGGGUGAGGGGCUCAGCCCCAGGCCCCAAAGCAAAAAAUAUUUGGGGUA